rnacentral:rRNA from 1 species
GACGAACGCUGGCGGCGUGCUUAACACAUGCAAGUCGAACGGACAGGCCAUGCUUUUGUGGGGUGCUCGUGUGGCGAACGGGUGAGUAUAACGUGAGUAACAUGUACUUGACUUUGGGAUAACUUCAGGAAAAUGGGGCUAAUACAGGAUAGGAGAUCCUGAUGCAUGUUGGGGGAUGGAAAGUUUCGGCGGUUGGGGCUGGAGUAGCGGCAUAGCAGCUUGUUGGUGGGGUAGUGGCUUACAAAGGCUUUGACGGGUAGCCGGCCUGAGAGGGUGACCGGCCACAGUGGGACUGAGAUACGACCCAGAGGCCUACGGGAGGCAUCGGCGAGGAAUUUACCACAAAGCGCGGAAUCAGGAAGCAGGAACUCCGCGUGGGAAAUGACGGCCUUCGGGUUGUAACCCAUUUUCACCUAAGACGAAACAUGAGGGACGUAAAUAGUAAAAAAGCACCGGCUAACUACGUG